CGUGUAGGCGGAUAGGCAAGUCGGUUGUGAAAUCCCUGGGCUCAACCUAGGAACUGCAUCCGAAACUGCUUGUCUUGAGUAGUAGAGAGGGUGGCGGAAUUCCCGGUGUAGAGGUGAAAUUCGUAGAUAUCGGGAGGAACAUCAGUGGCGAAGGCGGCCACCUGGAUACUUACUGACGCUGAGACGCGAAAGCGUGGGGAGCAAACA
rnacentral:rRNA from 1 species